AACGAACGCUGGCGGCAGGCCUAACACAUGCAAGUCGAGCGAAGCACCUUGAUUUGAUCCUUCGGAUGAAGAUCUUGGUGACUGAGUGGCGGACGGGUGAGUAACGCGUGGGUAACCUGCCCCAUACAGGGGGAUAACAGUUAGAAAUGACUGCUAAUACCGCAUAAGACCACAGCACCGCAUGGUGCGGGGGUAAAAACUCCGGUGGUAUGAGAUGGACCCGCGUCUGAUUAGGUAGUUGGUGGGGUAACGGCCUACCAAGCUGACGAUCAGUAGCCGACCUGAGAGGGUGACCGGCCACAUUGGGACUGCGACACGGCCCAGACUCCUACGGGAGGCAGCAGUGGGGAAUAUUGCACAAUGGGCGAAAGCCUGAUGCAGCGACGCCGCGUGAAGGAUGAAGUAUUUCGGUAUGUAAACUUCUAUCAGCAGGGAAGAAAAUGACGGUACCUGACUAAGAAGCCCCGGCUAACUACGUGCCAGCAGCCGCCGUAAGAC
rnacentral:rRNA from 1 species